UACUAUUGGUAUUUCCCUCCAAUUUUUUACAUCACCUCGUUCUAGGCCCAGCCCCAGAAGUUUACCUUGGAUGAAAGCCCCCGGAGAUUCAAUUUUCAUUGAAGACAAAGCCAAAUUCUCAUAUAUAUCAAGCGAAGAAGCUAUUGAAACUGCCAAGCUUCUUGCAGUGAAGGAGGGUUUGCUGGUAAAGUGACUUAUCUAUCAUGAGACAUUGAGACUUCAGACCCCCAACCUAGGAAACAAUGCGCACACCGACUAAUAUCCAUAUUCAACUGAUUUCCUGGGAUGUAUGGAGAUCGUGGCAAUUCAGAGUUUUUUGCCGCGUGCUUAUUAGUUGGCUUCUUUGUGAUUCUUUCUGUUGCACAUUGCAGGUCGGAGUAUCAUCAGGUGCAGCUGCUGCAGCUGCAAUCAAUCUUGCAAAGAGGCCAGAAAAUUCUGGAAAGCUCAUUGUGGUGGUCUUCGCAAGCAUUGGAGAGUGUUAUUUGUCUACUGCGAUUUUUCAAUCUGUGAAGCAGGAGGCAGAGAAUAUGCUUUAUGAACCUUGACUAAUUUCCUCAACGUGUCCACAUACUUUCAUCUGAUUUAACUGACACAUCAAGAACAAAUUCCAGCCGGCCCUUUCUAAUGAAGAAUUGUCCCCGUGACAAGUAUUUAACAA